rnacentral:rRNA from 1 species
UGGGGAAUUGUUCGCAAUGGGCGCAAGCCUGACGACGCAACGCCGCGUGGAGGAUGAAGGUCUUCGGAUUGUAAACUCCUGUUGAUCGGGACGAAAAGCUUCGACCUAACACGUCGAAGACUGACGGUACCGGUUGAGGAAGCCACGGCUAACUCUGUGCCAGCAGCCGCGGUAAUACGUAGGGGGCAAGCGUUGUCCGGAUUUAUUGGGCGUAAAGAGCGUGUAGGCGACCGCACAGGUCCGUUGUGAAAACUGGAGGCUCAACCUUCAGACGUCGAUGGAAACCGUGCGGCUAGAGUCCGGAAGAGGAGAGUGGAAUUCCUGGUGUAGCGGUGAAAUGCGCAGAUAUCAGGAAGAACACCCGUGGCGAAGGCGGCUCUCUGGGACGGUACUGACGCUGAGACGCGAAAGCGUGGGGAGCGAA